rnacentral:rRNA from 1 species
AGUGAACGCUGGCGGUAGGCCUAACACAUGCAAGUCGAACGGCAGCACAGUAAGAGCUUGCUCUUACGGGUGGCGAGUGGCGGACGGGUGAGGAAUACAUCGGAAUCUACUUUUUCGUGGGGGAUAACGUAGGGAAACUUACGCUAAUACCGCAUACGACCUACGGGUGAAAGCAGGGGAUCUUCGGACCUUGCGCGAUUGAAUGAGCCGAUGUCGGAUUAGCUAGUUGGCGGGGUAAAGGCCCACCAAGGCGCCGAUCCGUGGCUGGUCUGAGAGGAUGAUCGGCCACACUGGAACUGAGACACGGUCCAGACUCCUACGGGAGGCAGCAGUGGGGAAUAUUGGACAAUGGGCGCAAGCCUGAUCCAGCCAUACCGCGUGGGUGAAGAAGGCCUUCGGGUUGUAAAGCCCUUUUGUUGGGAAAGAAAAGCAGCAGGUUAAUACCCCGCUGUUCUGACGGUACCCAAAGAAUAAGCACCGGCUAACUUCGUG